CACCUCCAUCCCUCAAAACAAAGAGAAUGAUGUUGCUCUGGUAGAAGUCUUGAUAAAUGUUCGAUCAACAAGGAGGGCAAAUGGUAAUUUCUCAUGCCAGCCCUUGUAAGUCUCAGUCACUUUUCCACAAUUCAUUUUUGGGUAAUACAGUGACGAACUGUGGUGUCUGGUCUUGAAUUGAUUACAAACCUCAGCCAUCGUGCUAUCAUUCAAGUUCAAUGCAUUUUCCAAUACCAUCUUCUUUGAAAUUCUGUAUCGGCAUAUGAUGACCUUGACGCAUGAAACAACCUCUAUCCAUUUGAUGAAGUAAUUAAUAAUCUCAAAAAAAAAAUGAAGCAAUGCCCAUUAGAAGCCUUCGAUGAUGAUGACGUCCAUGCCCUAUUUUGCUCAAAAUUUGAGUCGCCUUUUUCGGGGUUUUAACUCAAAUCCACCUUUGGUCGCAAA
rnacentral:lncRNA from 1 species